AUGUGAAGGCCUGUGGCGGCUGCUGAAACCAGGAACUGAGUCAGCUGAUGCUCAGUGUGAACCACACCAUUUAUACAGGACUACAGUGAUAGUCUGUGUAGUUGUACUUGUUGUGUUUUAUUUGUUUGUUUUAUCUGCACUUGGAGUGUGGUGCUGCCGACAGAAGAUAGGGGAAUAUUUACCCCCAGGUAAAGUUUUAAGCUGUGACAAUAUAAACAGGAUCUUUUAUUUUUAAAUUGAUUGAAUGUCUCUGUCAUAUCACUUAGUUUUUAUUCAUUGCUGACCUUUAAUUUCAGGAGAAAACGAAGGAGCAGAAACAACAGAGGAGCAGAUGUGGUAUGUUUUAAACUUUCUGUGCUCUCAGUUCAUUUCAUUGUUCAGUGGUAGAAUGAGUUUACUCACCCACAAACAUUUCUUCUGAAGGUGCAAAACCGUUUAAAUGAAAACUACUUGCAGAGAGGUGGCUUCACAGACCAUAAACGCAAUGAUGGUGAGACACUAGAGUUUUUAAUUAAAAUGUUGACUGACAGGGAUAAACUCUGACAUUUCUUUACAAAUAUGUUUAAAAUAAAUCUCUUCUUUUCUCAGGUCCUGAUACUUUUUUGGACACUUCAGAGUGAAUGUUGUUCAGGAUUCAGGUUUUAUCCUCCUGGAUUUCAUAAAAUACAACAAUCAUCCAUAGUGUCAUGAUCAGCUGCUUACUUCUGUCUGGAAGCACAUCUUAAAUUGACUGAUAGAAAAACAACAUGAUGUAUUUACAUUUGACUAGUAUAUAGUUAAAAAAAAAUCCUGACAGAAAGCUGUGUUCAGUUAAAGGACAAAUACCUCAUGAAAUACCAGCGCUCAUCUCAUUUCAAGUCCUUCUUAUGCUUUGGAAAUAAAGAAGUUAUUAACAAAAUGUCCUAUAAGUAUGACGAAAAAGGCAUCAAACUUUCCAGUGUUUACCUUCAGAUUUGUUACAUUUUAAAGCUCCAUAUCAGUGAAACAACACUUAACCAAAAAAUAUUUUAAAACAGCUUGCACUGUGUGUAUAUGUCUGUAAAUAUGUGUUGAUUGUUUGUGUAUUUAUCUAAAUAAAAGAAGAAACACACUCUU